CAGUCGCCGCGGGAAUACGAAGGGUGCAAGCGUUAAUCGGAAUUACUGGGCGUAAAGCGUGCGUAGGCGGUGAGUUAAGUCUGCUGUGAAAUCCCCGGGCUCAACCUGGGAAUGGCAGUGGAUACUGGCUCGCUAGAGUGUGUCAGAGGAUGGUGGAAUUCCCGGUGUAGCGGUGAAAUGCAUAGAGAUCGGGAGGAACAUCAGUGGCGAAGGCGGCCAUCUGGGACAACACUGACGCUGAGGCACGAAAGCGUGGGGAGCAAACAGGAUUAGAUACCCCCGUAGUCCCUGUCUCUUAUAA
rnacentral:rRNA from 1 species